GAGCAGCUGCAUAUGACCGCAGAGGUCCAACCCUGAACAGUUGGGGCAAAAAUGGACACAAUAUUCAAGCUUGAUUCAGGUCUGAAUUUGGAUUGUAAUUAAAUAUUUGACAUAUUAUAGGUUUCUGAAUAAAUUUAGUCAAAGAACUUGAAAUUGGUUAUAUGGAUUGAAUUUAUAUUCAAUUAAAGAUUUCGUGCUGUUGUGCAAUACACUGUGCUUUUGCGCAAUACUUAGUAAAUCUGUUGUCAGACUAUAAAGAAAUAAAGUUCAAUUAAUUCUCAAUGUCAUAUUAGAAAUUUAUGAAAAUGUACAUCAAUAGAUAUAAACAAUUCACCAAAGUUUCAUGAAAAUUGCUGACAGCAUUUUUGAGUUAUUGUCCGAAAACUGGAAAAUCCCCCUUUUUUAAUAAAUUAAACCCCAUAACUCAGAAAUGAUAAAUGAAAAAUUUAUAAAAUUCUAAACGGAGCUUACAUCAAUAGUUAUAAACAAUUCACCAAAGUUUCGUAAGAACUGCUGAAGUUAUUGUCCAUAAACUGGAAAAUCCCCCCUUUUUUAAUGAAUAAAACCCCAUAACUCAGAAAUGAUAAAUGAAAAAUUUAUAAAAUUCUAAAAGGAGCUUACAUCAACAGAUAUAAACAAUUCAACAAAGUUUCAGAAGAACUGCUGAAAGCAUUUUUGAUUUUUUGUCGGAAAACUGGAAAAUCCCCCUUUUUUUAUGAAUAAAACCCUGUAACUCAGAAACGUAAAAUCUAAAAUUUAUAAAAAUUGAAAGGGAGCUCAUGUCAAUAGAUAUAAACAAUUCACCACAAUUUCUUGCAAGUUGGUGAAAGCAUCCUUGAGUUAUUGUCAGAAAACUGGAAAAUCCCCCUUUUUUUAAUGAAUAAAACCCCAUAACUCGGAAACGUAAAAUCUAAAA